rnacentral:tRNA from 1 species
AAUAAGAUGCCUGAUAAAAAGGCAUAUCUUGAUAGGAUAUUUAAUGUAGUUACCCUACUCUUAUUA